GACAGAGGCCUCAAGCGUUAGGCGGAAUCACCGGGCUUAAAGCGUGUGUAGGCGGAUCGUUAAGUGUCUUGUGAAAUCCCACGGCUCACCCGUGGAACUGCUGGGCAUACUGGCGAUCUUGGGCCAACUAGGGGCAACUGGAACAAGCGGUGGAGCGGUGAAAUGCGUAGAUAUCGCUUGGAACGCCGAAGGUGAAAACAGGUUGCUGGGGUUGUGCCGACGCUGAGACACGAAAGCCAGGGGAGCAAACGGGG
rnacentral:rRNA from 1 species